rnacentral:misc_RNA from 1 species
AACAGAAUUACACGGUUGUGCUGGUUCUUCACAAGUGCACACCGUUAUUUCUUCAUUCACCCCAUGUGCACCUAUGCGUUGCUGGUGUUUGCCAGCUCCGCCUUAUUUUACACAAACUCUUUGUAUUGAAUGUCUUGAUGAAAUAAUAAUAAAAUA